GAACUAGGCAGUUUUCUGAUCAGAGUUCAGAUAAAGAAAGUCACAGUAAUUUGUGGCCACUGACUAAAAUAACCCCGGGGAUGGGAGAGUUACCACAUAAGAAGCAAACUAAAAAGAACUGCAGCGCGGAGCAUCUGUGGAGACUUCUGCAGACUAUAUUUCAGGCUGUUCGAGAGUGCGCGCUGCAUCAAAAUCCAGCCAAUAGCAGGGGGAGCCUUACCCUCCCUAGCCUCCAUUUGUUCCCCUACCUGAAGCAAGGGUGUGCUGCAGCUGUGAGGUGACCGCCCAGCCCCCUCCAGCCCCCUCCUGCCCGGCUCAAACUGCAGAGGCAUUAAGGCAAGCUUCACCUGGUUUAAAGGAGAACCCUGCUAAUAUCAAAGCUGACUUCUGGCCACCCUCACACGUUCGUUUCAUGGGCAGGUAACCUCCGAGGGAAGGCAUACCUGUAAAAGAUGAUUUGGUUUGGGUGGCUUUAAAUUCAAACGGAGCAGUUUACUUUGCAGCCCCUGGUGCAAUAUGAGAACAAUCCUAAGAAGGAAGAAGGCAGAGAUCAUGGGCUGCUGGCUGCUCAUUGGCAGACGCAGGACCUCCGAAUUCUACAGCUCUAAUUACCUUUCAAAAGCAAACCCAUUUCCGUGUGUAUAUUUGUAGAGGAUGAUUGGGAAGUAUGCAGCGGAGAAAGAUCACCAGUUCAAUCACAAAAAUCAAUGGGUUAGAUACAGAGUGGAAACCAAAGUGCCGGUUCGGCCACCAUCUAAGUCCCUUUGUACUUUUUCCCUCCGGAAAGAAAUACAGGCUAUUGACAAUACGAUCAGUGUGGGCUCUUUGGUCAGAGCAGCAGAAACUGAACUCUGGUUAGUUUCUUAUUGAAAGCCUAUGAGGACAUUUACAGAAUAAAAGGAAGGCUAAAGGAACGGACUCAGACGACAGGGCCAGGCUUUGACGAAGUCUCUACAACACGCUAUAGGACUGUAACUUGCUGCUGGUAGAAGGACAAUCACCAGCUUCCUAUUGUCUUUCUUCUCAUCACACUCAAGUGGCCUGAGUCUCAGCCCAGUGUCCCUUUGUCCAUGGGUUCAUGCCUAUAGGUUUUACAAAAGCAGUGCCCUCCAUUUGCCGAAUCCCAAAGUCAUCUGGCGGAAGAGGAGGAGCCACAGUGCUCCCUCGUGGGAUGACAGUACUGUUCCUAAAAGGAUGGGGAGAGUGGACCUUCUUUCCCUUCCAGUGACACAUUUACUGCUAUGGAUGCGGCCGCUAUAUAUAAUCUUCGUACCUGGGUUGAUGAUUUUUUUUUUCAUUUCUGGCUCAUUAUUUUUCAGUACUGUGGCUGGAACCCAGGGCCUCAUGCAUGCUAGGCAGCACUCUACUUCGGAGCUACACCCCCAACCCUCAUCUUUUAAAAUUCAGUUUUGAGAGAAGAGCACUCUGGCUUUGAACUUGCAAACCUACUGCCUCUGCUUCCCAAUUAGCUGUGAUUACAGGGAUGUGUCACCAUACCAGGUUAACUCGGAUUUAUAACCUUGUCUGUCAUGGCUACUCAUUUGGGAAGGUCAAAUGAACCGACAACAGGGAACAGAAGCAGUAUGGAUAACUGCACAAGGACAAGAGGCCUUUAGCAACCUUUGCCAAACUAAGUCUUUCUUUUUGUGUUCAGCAUCUUUUGCACCAGCAUCUCUUUUGUGCUUGGCGUGGUAUGUGACUUGUGGACUGUUACUAUGGAGUUAUCAUUCCCUACAUUUCUACGUAGCUGAGGAGUAUGCGAGUGCCCCAGUGCUCACAGUGAGAGACAUAACCAACCCCUUUCUCUCUUUGGGGACUAUUCUUUUCUUCUAGGGGUGUUACCCAUGGGAUUACCUUUGCCUCAUAUAAAUGAAUAAAGAAUUAAAUGAUCCC
rnacentral:lncRNA from 1 species